AAUUACAGGAAAAAAAUUAAGUAGCAGGUAAUUUUUCAAAUUAAACAGCACCUUAGAAAGAAUCCAAAAGAUAAAAAGGAGUCAGGAAUGCGUAUUGAAUUGUUGAUCAUAAUUUGGUCACCAUACCAAUAUGAUUGUCACAACUCAUAAAGGCUAAUACUUCAAUUAAGGAUGGCAAUAUUCCUCAUUGCGCCAAGUUCUCCGCGGGAAAGCUCUGAAUGGGGCCUCCAAGAUGGUGAUUAAUAUCCGGGGAGGGGAGGGAAGGGGGCAAAGUUUCUUGAGGCAAGUUUGGUAAUCCGAGCAGGGAUUUCCACCCCGCUCUCCAAGAUUUUUGAAAUAUAUAAAAUAUCAGAUCUAUUAAACAUCUAAAUAUUAUUGCCAUCCAAGUCCAACCAAUCAGAUUUAACAUCAACAAAAAUCACUCUCAUUAAAAAAAGCAUGAUUAUGCGCUCACACGUCAUUCUUUCAACCAAGUCAUUUACGUUCGCAUGUAAGGUUUUACAUUAUCACCGUCUUCUUCUUUUUUGCGUUCCUCCUCCUUCGCAUGUUUUUUCCUUAUCGUCAUUCUUUUGUUACUACUGUUGUUGUUGUUGUGUUUUUUUUUUUUUUCCUCCGCCUCUCUUUGGAGAUUUUGUAGUAUUAUGUGUUUUUUCUUCUUUGUUUUAUUUUUUUAUUGGUUUUAUUCCUCUCAAGAGAGUGAAAUAACAAGAAUUAUAACAAAAUGAAAUAAGAUGAAAAAGAAAAAAAUAAAAAGGAAGAAGAAGCAAUAAAAGGUGAGGAAGAAGAGUUUUGAAUUGUGCAGAACAAUGAGUCCAAAUGCACCUUAAUUCACUCAGAAAUGAACCGAAAUGAUUGUGACACAAACUCAGUUCGAAAACAUAAUGCUCAGAAGUGUACCUUGUUGACAUCCAGAAUGAACCGACAACUAAAUUUCGAAUGAACCGAAAUUACUUAAUGAUGACAAUACACAAAUUCGUUUCAAAACAAGUACAGACCAAGUGCACCUUAUUUAAAUCUAGAAUGAAACGAAAUUACUUAAUGGUUGCGUUUGAAAACAAGCACACAAACAAAAUUGAAUGAUCAGAAAGAGGUUUACAAUAAGUUCUUUCAAAAUUGACUAUUUGUCCCUCUAUUAGAGGUGUUCCCGAAAUGUCUGCGAUCGAGUAAAUAGUUCUACGAAUGAAUGGAUCGAAUCGAAUUGGAAAAUGAAAAGAUUUGUACAAGUUAUUCAGAAGUGCACCUUAUUUACAUCCAGAAUGAACCGAAAAUUAAAUUUUGAAUGAACCGAAAAUUACUUAAUGAUGACGAUACACAAACAAACUCGUUUCAAAACAAGCACAGACCAAGUGCACCUUAUUUAAAUCCAGAACAAAACGAAAUUACUUAAUGGUUGCAUUCAAAAGCAAGCACACAAACAAAAUUAAAUUAUUAGAAGUGUACCUUAUUUACAUCCAAAAUGAAGCGAAAAUUAAAUUUUGAAUGAACCGAAAUUAUUUAAUGAUGAUGAUACCCAAACAAACUCGUUUCAAAACAAGCAUAGACCAAGUCAAUUUUGAACAAAAACACAUCUAAAUCAAUUUUGGAUUAAAAAAAUAUCAUCAAUAUGAUAAAAAUUCGAUGAUAACGACAACAAUAACGACGAUAACAAAAGAGAAAAAUAAUAAAAAAAGAAGAAGAAGACGACAACGUAGCAUUAGAGGGUGAAGAACAAUGUGUGUGCGUGAAUUUAAAGAAGAAGCACGAGGGGAGAAGAAAGCAUGAAAAAGAAGUGCGUGAAUCUAAAAGAGUUUGUUAAAUCACUUGGAUGUGAAGAUUUAUUGAUAAAAUAUCUAAUUUGUCCUUAAAGAAUAAUUCUUAAUUUAGAUAUUUUGUAUAGAUAUAAAUCUAAUUAAAUUAAUUGUAUUAGUAUAUUGGGUGGGGAGACGGGAAAUGGUACCGCCGGGAUUUUAUUUGGCACCCCAUCCCCCUGACAUCCCUAACUUCGAUAGGACAAUUGAGACAAUUCAGGUUAUCUCUGUUGCAUGUCUGCUGCUUUUAUGCCACACAAAUAUACUUACCUCAUAAUCAGUCUGCGAGACUGUUUCGCGGCUCCGUUGGUAUUUAUCAACCCAUGGAGCAACGUCUUUAUCGGAGGCCAAUUUGGCCUCUGUCGCAGCCUGAUCAGGGCCUAAGAAUGCAGAAAGAACAGCCAGCUGACCAAACAAGAAGAAAUAGUAAUCAAAUAUGUGAAAUACCUGGCGAGGACCAAGGCCUACAGCAGAAAACUUGUCUUUCAUUUCCUGAACACUUGCUUUCUCCCAUAAGGGAACUCUCCCCUCUGGAUCCGGCUCUUGAGCAUCUUCCCUACCAAAUUGCUUGUCGAACAGUCCCCACUGGGAUCAAAAAAAUAAAAAAUAUGCAUUAUUUGAUCAAAGUAUGAACAUGUAAUGGAACUCUAUUAAAGUAAACAGAAGCAACAAAACAGCCAACAGAACGAGAGCACCGAGAGUGCUCACCACAGCCUAGAUCCCAAUCCUUUCUUGAAACUGAAAAAAUGACAAGAGUGUAUUCCUAUAACGGUAACUCAAUUCUUGUUAUUUACAGCUGCAACCCCCCUAUUUUCUCUU